rnacentral:rRNA from 1 species
GACGAACGCUGGCGGCGUGCUUAACACAUGCAAGUCGAACGGAAAGGCCCUGCUUUUGUGGGGUGCUCGAGUGGCGAACGGGUGAGUAACACGUGAGUAACCUGCCCUUGACUUUGGGAUAACUUCAGGAAACUGGGGCUAAUACCGGAUAGGAGCUCCUGCUGCAUGGUGGGGGUUGGAAAGUUUCGGCGGUUGGGGAUGGACUCGCGGCUUAUCAGCUUGUUGGUGGGGUAGUGGCUUACCAAGGCUUUGACGGGUAGCCGGCCUGAGAGGGUGACCGGCCACAUUGGGACUGAGAUACGGCCCAGACUCCUACAGGAGGCAGAAGUGGGGAAUAUUGCACAAUGGGCGGAAGCCUGAUGCAGCAACGCCGCGUGCGGGAUGACGGCCUUCGGGUUGUAAACCGCUUUCGCCUGUGACGAAGCGUGAGUGACGGUAAUGGGUAAAGAAGCACCGGCUAACUACGUG